ensembl:lncRNA
AGAAGUGAUAUCGGUGAAGAGGAGUUUCAAAAACUGAUACUUUGCAGAGAUGUUGAUCUUCCUUUCUUGGACUCAGGCUUGCCCACCAUAAGCAGCAGCUUAUUGAAGCUGCUGAACUCUGCUGUGCAAACUGCAGUCUCCUGAUAAUGCAGGGCCAUAGGGGACAAGGAGGCUGGUCUCAGUGUCUGUCUGGGGCAGUGGUGCACGUGGCUCCCUUCAGCCUAAUGAUGAAAAGGGAAAUGGGAUGAGGUCUUCACUAUCGAGAAAGGAGAAUCAGAAGUCAAGUCCUAUGUGCCAGGACACGGUCAGGCUGGGAUGAGGAAGGUGAUUCUCUCCAAAGGGCAUGGAACUAUUGGCAGCCUGCCUCUUUCCCUCCUCUUCCUCUGAAGCACCCUGGAGUCAGGAUGCAGCCUUUAAUGACUCAGUAGUCUGCUUGGCUGUGGCAGAUCUUACAUUUCUGGAGAGAAUCAAUAUAAACACUUUCUUUUGUCUUUCCUUUAUUUUUUUUCCCCUUUACCCAUUGUACUGCCUCCUAUUUCACUGUCUGCUGUCUACCAGCGCCUAAGGAAACUGUGAUUGGUAAUUACUGGUGCCUGGGGCUGCCCAGCCUGCAACAAAAUUGCUCAGUGUGAAAGCUGUGAGCAAGAUAAUGCAGUUGGAUUCCCUUAGAUGUGACAGACAUUCAUCCUGAUCCUUAAUUCAGUUUCCAUUGGGAGGACAGAUCUCAGCUGCCUCUUCAUUUCCUGGUUUGGAGACUGACUCAGAAUUGAAGACAUUAAGCAUUAAAAUUAGCUGAAAAAUAAAGGGUGGAGAUGCGAAUAAUGUCAGGGACUUUGCAUUCUAUUUCUCACGAGCUUUCAAACUUGUUCAACUUUUAAGAAAAGUCUUGUUUAAUACUUGUUGUUCCAGCUACUUUUAGAAGACAUUUUGGAAGACAGGAAGGCCAGAUACUUCAGGCAAGAGGCAUAAUGACUUGGGGCACAGACCACUAAAAAAAAAAAUCAAUCCUGAAUCCCUGAGGCUUCCGUACUCUUGUUGAGAAGGCAGAACCUAGUGUUUCAUCAAAUUUUUUGUGAUAACCAUUGAUGACGUUGCAGAAACCAUGAUAAUGUAAAAUAAUGGAUUAAAUUUGUAUGAGCAUAACUGUAGUGAUGAAACAAUUUAAACUCAUUUCUGAAGGCAUUCAUGCACUGGUGCUUGCUCAGGGUGUGAGCUAGAAGGCCACUAUCCCUUCAAAAUUAGACAGAGAUGUUGAUGACCAUUCUCAGUUAUUAUACUUCUAAAUUACAGCCUGUCCUCAUCCUUGAAGAUCAAAAAGGGAGUAAUUUCUGUUUUACAGGAGAUUACUUGCACUACAAGUCUAACUCUUGUUCACUUUGAGGUACUUAAAUAAAUCUGGAGCCCUGGCUGUAGGACAGACAGACAGUUCCAGUGGGAAAAUCAGCUCUGAAUUUCAUAAUGGGAAUUUCAUUCAUUUUCUGAAUGUGUUCAUCCUUAUCCAUUAGCCCAGAGGACCCAGGACUAGCAGACGCCUUUGAAAUUCAGCCCACUGCCUCAGGUUAGAUUAAAUGAAUCCAUACUUCUGAUCAGCAGAGUUAAAAAAAAAUACAAAACCCAAACCAACCAAAAAGCAUCAACAACCACAUAACCAUAUAAUAAUAUGGAAGGAAAUAAAGGACAAGGGAUAUUUUUAUUUGUGCAGCUGACCAGAUAUUUCCAUCUUUGGAUUGCUCCCUCUGCUGCCUGCAAGGUAGCUGGAGGGGAGCUAGCAAAGCUACCCAGGUGGACUCUGCAUCCCUCUUCCUCGCCCAACUCCCAGCAUUAGAGAUGCCGACAGUUACUAGAUAAAGUUAAAGACUCAUGUAGUGAUCUUCACACUAAUUGGACUGUAAUGUAUAGCCUCGGUCAAGCAAAUCUCUCCCAGCACUCCUCUCCACAGACGACAAUCAAGCCAUUUACAGAAGAUGCAUCGGCUGCUGGGACCCUGGAGUAACCUUAAACUACGCUGGCCUUUUAGCAGAAAACACAAUUAAUUUUGAUACUGAAGGGCAAUUAGGACUGGGGUUAAAAUAAAAAAUCUUCUGAACAGAGAAUGUCAAAGACUGGUAAGGAAACUAUUUCCCUUGUACACAGCUUGUUGAAGGUCUGUAAGCACGGCGACUGUCAGCUCACGUUAAUUCAUAUCACUUUGAAAACCUCUCAUUUCAAUGUAGGAAAUAUAAAUUCAGAUUAAUAAGCACUGUGCUCAAACCUCACUAAGACUGAUGGCUGUUUUCUUUAAGUCUUUUGCUGCUGAAAUGAGCACAGCUUCUCCCUCUUGCUGGGGAAACCUGUUUUACAUCCCAGAAUGUAGUGAAAUGACCAAAUGCAUUUAUUUUGUUCUGUUUCAUUUCUAAAAGAAGAUAGUCUCCCAGAUGACACUCUGCAGAUCACGGCUGAGAGCAAAUCUUGUCAGCAACUCUGUAAACUACUCUUUAGAAAUACAGAAGAUGUUCACAGUAAUACAUAUCUACAAUGCACCCACAUGCCCUGAUGCAUGUGCAAGGCAGCCAAAAUUUUGACCUCGCCUGCACAAACCGCAUAGGUCGAUGCCACUCUCAAUAAGUCAAGCAAAUGCACCAG